rnacentral:sRNA from 1 species
AUGGGCCACUCGUACAUUGCGAUUCCGAGUGCGCCGUCCACCCCUGGCUGACGACUGCACGCUACGUUUUCAGGC